rnacentral:rRNA from 1 species
AUACGGAGGGUGCAAACGUUAAUCGGAAUUACUGGGCGUAAAGCGCGCGUAGGCGGCGCUGUAAGUCGGAUGUGAAAGCCCUGGGCUCAACCUGGGAAUUGCAUUCGAAACUGCAGGGCUAGAGUAUGGUAGAGGGAAGUGGAAUUCCCGGAGUAGCGGUGAAAUGCGUAGAUACCGGGAAGAACACCUGUGGCGAAGGCGGCUCUCUGGCCCAAUACUGACGCUGAGGCGCGAAAGCGUGGGGAGCAAACAGAAUUAGAAACCCCAGUAGUCC